rfam:Anopheles christyi strain ACHKN1017 cont1.4243, whole genome shotgun sequence.
UCAUCAAUACCGGCGCUGAACUCUCGUGGGUCUGCAGUAUUACAAGCGCAUAUCGUUCAUGUAGCACCAUGAGAUUCAGCUCCGGUGUUAGAUAA